GGUGCGAGCGUUGUCCGGAUUAUUGGGCGUAAAGGGCUCGUAGGUGGUUGAUCGCGUCGGAAGUGUAAUCUUGGGGCUCAACCCUGAGCGUGCUUUCGAUACGGGUUGACUUGAGGAAGGUAGGGGAGAAUGGAAUUCCUGGUGGAGCGGUGGAAUGCGCAGAUAUCAGGAGGAACACCAGUGGCGAAGGCGGUUCUCUGGGCCUUUCCUGACGCUGAGGAGCGAAAGCGUGGGGAGCGAACAGGCUUAGAUACCCUGGUAGUCCACGCUGUAAACGGUGGGUACUAGGUGUGGGGUCCAUUCCACGGGUUCCGCGCCGUAGCUAACGCUUUAAGUACCCCGCCUGGGGAGUACGGCCGCAAGGCUACAACUCAAAGGAAUUGACGGGGCCCCGCACAAGCGGCGGAGCAUGCGGAUUAAUUCGAUGCAACGCGUAGAACCUUACCUGGGUUUGACAUGGAUCGGGAGUGCUCAGAGAUGGGUGUGCCUCUUUUGGGGUCGGUUCACAGGUGGUGCAUGGCUGUCGUCAGCUCGUGUCGUGAGAUGUUGGGUUAAGUCCCGCAACGAGCGCAACCCUUGUUCACUGUUGCCAGCACGUUAUGGUGGGGACUCAGUGGAGACCGCCGGGGUCAACUCGGAGGAAGGUGGGGAUGACGUCAAGUCAUCAUGCCCCUUAUGUCCAGGGCUUCACGCAUGCUACAAUGGCUGGUACAGAGAGUGGCGAGCCUGUGAGGGUGAGCGAAUCUCGGAAAGCCGGUCUCAGUUCGGAUUGGGGUCUGCAACUCGACCUCAUGAAGUCGGAGUCGCUAGUAAUCGCAGAUCAGCAACGCUGCGG
rnacentral:rRNA from 1 species